ensembl:lncRNA
AGAGUCGCGCAGGCGCCGUGCGAGUGCUGCAUUUUACCGCCGCAGAGGUGGAGGAUUGGGGAUCAGCAAGAACAAGUUCCCACCCCGCCUGCACCAGCCAUCACAGCUGUAGAAAAUUCCAUGCCGUGCCCCACCCUGAGCCAGUGGUAACGACUGUUUCUCACGCGGGACUGGAUUUCUAAAGCAUCACCAGAACCCUCCGCCAGAGCCCAGUGAAUAGGUGACCCAGAAAAGCUCUGAAGGUUUAGGGUGUGACACCACUGGAAGUUCCAUAAAUGACAUGGCAGCUCAAGAGGAUGAAGCAGUGAUGCCUCAAAGGCCCAGUGUCUGGCCCACAUCUACACAGGGAGUGGAAGAGGGUAGCAGGACCUACUCCUCAGCAGGCCAUGGGCAGCGAGUGGCCAGUGAGCUCCCACUCAGUCAAGCUGCUGUUCUUCCGCUGGAACCAUCUUGGUGUUUCCAUGCCUCUGCUGCCCCACUGUGCUUGACCUGACAUCCUUCAGGCCUCCAAAGGAUCAUUGCUUCCUCAUGGAAGACUUCCUGGCUCUCCAGGCCUGGGUGGUACUUCCUCUGGGCUCCCACCGCACCUGGGCAGGUCCCCCGUCUGUCCUGGUGCCUUGAUGCAGAGUAGGGAUUCAGCAGACAUUUGUUGCAUUGGAUUGCUAAACCCCACAGCCCCUCACACUUUGCCUAUCAAUGGUUUCCCCUUUAUCCAAGUUCUUUACACUCAGAUAUCACCUCCUCAGAGAGGCGUUUCCUGACCAUCCUGGCUGAAAUAGGAAACACAAACCCCGUGUCCCAGCCAGCCACUCCC